AUGAAGUCGGAAUCGCUAGUAAUCGUGGAUCAGAAUGCCACGGUGAAUACGUUCCCGGGCCUUGUACACACCGCCCGUCACACCAUGGGAGUGGGCUGCAAAAGAAGUAGGUAGUUUAACCUUCGGGGGGACGCUUACCACUUUGUGGUUCAUGACUGGGGUGAAGUCGUAACAAGGUAGCGCUAGGGGAACCUGGCGCUGGAUCACCUCCUUAUACGAUGAU
rnacentral:rRNA from 1 species